rnacentral:rRNA from 1 species
CUACAAACCGGACAAACGUUAUUCGGAAUCAUUGGGCUUAAAGGGUGCGUAGGCGGCUUAGGAGGUGGGGUGUGAAAUCCCUUGGCUCAACCGAGGAACUGCGCCCCAAACCACUAGGCUAGAGGGAGACAGAGGUAAGCGGAACUGAUGGUGGAGCGGUGAAAUGCGUUGAUAUCAUCAGGAACACCAGUGGCGAAAGCGGCUUACUGGGUCUCUUCUGACGCUGAGGCACGAAAGCUAGGGUAGCGAACGGGAUUAGAAACCCCAGUAGUCC